rnacentral:lncRNA from 10 species
AAACUCAGGCACAGAGAAGUUAAGCAACUUGCUCAAGAUCACACAGUCAUUAAGUGGCAAAACUGGGAAUGGAACCUAGGCAUUUUGGCUCGUCUUUCUCCUAACCAACACUAUUAGCAAAAAUCCUGAUGUAUGAAAGAAAAUAACAACUGCUUUACACAGUUUUAUGUGGUUUAAAUGAAAUAAGGAAACUUGCUCUAAAGAAAAAUUGCUGGAUUAAGGGAUGUGAAUAUUUUAGCAGUGCUUGACACUUAGCCAAAUUGCCUUCCAGAAGUGAUGAAACAACUUACCCUCCCACAGGCAGCUCAUGAAACCUCCUGUCUCACCAAACUAGGUAUUGGAAUUCUAAAAAGAAAAUAAAGCUGUUUGCCAAUUUGAGAGUCUCUGUUGAUUUACUUGGGCAUUUCUCACCUUCCUGUCAGAGGGCCAGGUGGGAGCUCCUGGUUAGGAGGAAGGAGGGGCCUUAGG